GCGGGUGUAGUUCAAUGGUAGAACGGAAGCUUCCCAAGCUUCAGGCGGGGGUUCGAUUCCCCUCACCCGCU
rnacentral:tRNA from 1 species